rnacentral:misc_RNA from 1 species
AACAAGUUAACGCGCACCUGUUGCACCAUUUCCGGUUUGAUUUUUGAACGAUGUCGAAACGAAAAUUGGACGUAGAAAGCAGUAUAAGCGAUAUAUGUGAUACCAGUGACGAAAAGCAAAGUCGCUUCAAAGAAAAGCAUUCCCUUGAUAGCGACGAAGAGGACGAGACGGGCCAAGAUUAUGAAAUUCUGCCAGGAGGAUGACAUUGAAGGACAAGAGGACACUACAAUUGAUUCCUAUGAAGGGAUUAAAGUAACUCCCUUCAACAUGAAAGAGGAACUAGAAGAAGGACACUUUGACAAAGAUGGGAUGUACAUUUUCGACAAAACUAAGGAAAUAAAAGAUAACUGGAUCGAUAAUAUUGACUGGGUCAAAAUCAAAGCAAAAGAAAAAGACCAUGAAGAUAAGAUGGGUGAUUCAGAGUCAGAUGACGAAGAGGAUUUUGAUGAAAAGGCUGUUUACACAGAAAUCUUAUCCUUUUUAAAACCUGGUGAAACCAUUGCUAAAGCUCUCAAACGACUCGGGGGUAACAAGGGGAAGAUACAAUCGUCCAGUCAGAGAUGGAAAGCCAAGAAACAGAAAACACCAAACGACACUGGGGGGCCAUCGGAGGAGGACAAACAGAAUUUUCUGAAAUUGACAGAGUUGGCAGAUAAAGUUAUGAGCACUGGCAACAUGGAGGUGUAUGAAAUGACAUAUGAAAAAGUGAAUUUCUUGUUGAAAAAAUUUGAACCAUCAAAAACUGAAAUUCCUGAAGACAUGGACAAUGAUGAUGCAUUAGAUAUGUUUGCAGAAAAUUUUGACAAAGAAUCUGGUACUAAAGAAGACAGCAGCAAAGGCAGUGAGGAACCAAAAUCUGAACAUAAGGAAAAUAACAGUAGUUCAAAAACUGAAGUUCUGGUCGCUACGUCCAGUGAGGUGAUGUGGGAGUACAAGUGGAAGACGGAGGACGAGGAGAUUCACGGACCGUUCACCAGCGCGCAGAUGUUGCAGUGGAGCGAGGAGGACUACUUCCCGGACGGAGUGUACGUCAGGAAAACCUCCAACACGGACGGACCAUUCUACAGCUCCAAGAGGAUUGACUUUGAUUUGUACACGUAGAUCUCUCCCUUCCUUAACAAUAGUCACAUUUUUACAUAUCUCAUUGUUUGAAUAUUCAUUGAAUAGAGUGCUCAUAUAUCAAUUUUUGUACAUAGUGAUUUUUGGGAAACUUCCAAGGAAUGAAAACAUUCAAGGAAUUAAAACUAUUGGGCAUUGGUGUGUGUAUAUUUGAAUUUACCAGCCGUUCGGUAUCAACUUUCAUGAAAUAUUGUAGACCUACAUCAGUGUUUGCCUAUAUGUCCAAUACUCUCACUUACGUGACCAAGAAGGUAGCUUAGAAUAAAUACAAACUGAUCAGACUU